GCUGAACCGCAGUGCUGUAAGAUGACGUAGUAAUAACAGAGACAAUGGUAGCGAUUAGUAUGAAAGACCUAAAA